UUCCUCGCUUUGUUUGUGCAUUUUGUCCA
rnacentral:piRNA from 1 species